UACGUAGGGGGCUAGCGUUGUUCGGAAUUACUGGGCGUAAAGGGCCAGUAGGCGGCCAACUAAGUCCGACGUGAAAUCCCCAGGCUUAACCUGGGAACUGCGUCGGAUACUGGAUGGCUUGAAUUCGGGAGAGGGAUGCAGAAUUCCAGGUGUAGCGGUGAAAUGCGCAGAUAUCAGGAGGAACACCAAUAGCGAAGGCAGCUCGCUGGGACGUUACUGACACUGAGGCGCGAAAGCGUGGGGAGCGAACAGG
rnacentral:rRNA from 1 species